AUAUAUUUAUUCAACUCUCCUGAUUUGUACACUUAGUUGCUCAUUGUAAUAUUAUUACAGGAUGAAACUAAGCUCUAUAUCUUCCUUGAGCUUGUAACAAAAGGCUCACUUGCAAAGUUAUAUCAAAACUAUAACUUAAAGGAUUCUCAAGUCUCUGGGUAUACAAGGCAGAUUCUAAGCGGGUUGACAUAUCUUCAUGAACGUGGCGUGGUUCACAGGGAUAUCAAAUGUGCUAAUAUAUUGGUGCAUGCAAGUGGAUCUGUGAAACUUGCAGACUUUGGGUUAGCCAAGGUGACCAAAUUGAAUGAAUUGAAGUCUUCCAAAGGGACUGCUUAUUGGAUGGCCCCUGAGGUUGUUAAUCAAAUGAAUGGUGGCUAUGGGCUUGCAGCUGACAUAUGGAGCCUUGGAUGCACUGUGUUAGAGAUGUUAACCCGCCAGCCUCCGUACUUUCCCCUGGAAUGGGUAUGUUCAACAUUUCUGCACAUAUAAUGCUAAUCUUUUACUUUUUCUUUAGGAUAAGAAAUGCAUAAAAAUAUGCCCACAUCACAUUUUGACCUAGAUCAUUGGACGUAGGAGCCAACCUCAUCCCACACAUCCCCCACCGUGUGAUUGUACCUGGAUCAUCUUACUUGUACUCAGCCUUGUGCUACCUAUUCACAAUAUGUUAUUUACUCUUCCAUGCAAGUAACUAGAAUCCUUAAUCAAGAGUCAUGGACCUAUGUUUACCCCUUAACCUGUAUCCGGCUAUUUCUUCUCAGACAUCAGUGACCACUAGCACUAGGGUAACCUUAGUUUUCUUAAUCAAUUUGGACCGUCACUCAUGCGAGAAGGCUAAGACAUUUUAUAGACGCGGCAGAUCACUAAGUUGUCGCCUCUAGAGUCAUUUAGGAAUCUGACAAGAAUCUUAUUCUUGUUUGUGAUGAUUGGCAGAUAGCAGCAUUAUUUCAGAUUAGCAUGGAUAAACUUCCUCCAGUUCCUAAUUCGUUAUCAAGAGAUGCAAAAGAUUUCAUUUUGAAGUGUUUACAAGUUGACCCUAAUAGCCGACCCACAGCGGCUCAGCUAUUGAACCAUCCAUUUGUUGAAAGGCCACUCCACGCUUCCUCUGUCCCAGCUUCUCAUUGCAACAGUUUACGUUCGUGAAUGCUUUGGUCAACCAACCUUCAGUGAUAUUGUUAGGUAAUAUAGAGGAACUGGUUAGUGAUUGGAUCUAUAUACGCUCUCAAGCCAUGGUAGAACAUUAGCUUCCACGAACGUGGUUUGGGGAAGGGGAUAUGCUUCCAAUAUUUUCACAAAGAUGAGAAUGGUUUGCUAAUCAAACGAAGCACCUCUUGGUCCUUGUGUGUGGAUCUGCACUACUAGGGACGUGACGGACCAGAGAAACUUAAAAGCACGUUUUGUAGAUUAUGGACUUUGCUGUAAAAUACGUUUUGUAAACCUCCUGAUGGAUAUAACUCAAUCGAAUAUGAGACUCGGUGGAUCUG